rnacentral:rRNA from 1 species
UACGAAGGGGGCUAGCGUUGCUCGGAUUGACUGGGCGUAAAGGGCGCGUAGGCGGCUUGUCAAGUCAGGGGUGAAAUCCUGCAGCUCAACUGUAGAAGUGCCUUUGAUACUGGCGAGCUCGAGGGAGGUAGGGGUGGGUGGAACUUCCGGUGGAGCGGUGAAAUGCGUUGAUAUCGGAAGGAACGCCGGUGGCGAAAGCGACCCACUGGAUCUCUACUGACGCUGAGGCGCGAAAGCCAGGGGAGCAAACGGG